rnacentral:rRNA from 1 species
UGAGGAAUUUUGCGCAAUGGGGGCAACCCUGACGCAGCAACGCCGCGUGAGUGAAGAAGGCCUUUGGUCGUAAAGCUCUGUCAACAGGGAAGAAGUUACAGGUGUUUAAUAGAUGUCUGUAUUGACGGUACCUGUGGAGGAAGCGCCGGCUAACUCCGUGCCAGCAGCCGCGGUAACACGGGGGGCGCAAGCGUUAUUCGGAAUUAUUGGGCGUAAAGGGCGCGUAGGCGGUCUUGUCCGUCAGGUGUGAAAGCCCGGGGCUCAACCCCGGAAGUGCACUUGAAACAGCAAGACUUGAAUACGGGAGAGGGAAGCGGAAUUCCUGGUGUAGAGGUGAAAUUCGUAGAUAUCAGGAGGAACACCGAUGGCGAAGGCAGCUUUCUGGACCGAUAUUGACGCUGAGGCGCGAAGGCGUGGGUAGCGAACGGGAUUAGAUACCCCGGUAGUCCACGCAGUAAACGUCGUACACUCGGUGUAGCGGAUAUUAAAAUCUGCUGUGCCCAAGCUAACGCAUUAAGUGUACCGCCUGGGAAGUACGGUCGCAAGACUA